UAAAACCGGAGUCGGUGCCAACCCCGUCUACUCUUUAUACAAGAGAAAGCUAGGGUUACAGAGUUCAAUUGUUAACGCUCGACGAUUAUUUUCUCUUCACCAGGUUAGGGCCCCCACAAUGGACAACAUUGUAGAUUCUCUAAAGAUUGCAUAUCAAGAGUUUGUUGUCGCAGUAGCUAGCGUGCUUGCUGCCAAGGAUAGUUCCGGGGGUCAAAAAUCAGCAGAUAUGGAUGUUGCUCUGGAAAACUUCAAGCAGCGUUGGGAAUUGUUCCGAGUUGCUUGCGAUCAAGCUGACGAGUUCGUGGAGUCUGUUAAGCAAAGGAUAGGCUCAGAGUGCUUGGUUGAUGAAGCCACUGGUUCAGUGGAUGGAAAGCGAGGGCAGGCCGUCACAACAGGUAUUCUACCAAUUAGUGCAGUUCGGUUGGAACAAAUGAGUAAAGCUGUCCGAUGCCUGGUGAUUGAAUUGCAGCAGCGUUCUGGAACUGCUGGUGGUUCAUCACAUCCCCACCCUUAUGCUACUUUUGAUGCUAGAUUGUCUGAUGCUGCAGCUCAAUAGUUUUAGGUUGGAAAAGGUCAGGAAAUGCAGCUUUGCUGGUUCAUCAAAAUCAAAGUCGACCAUUUUCUCUCCUGAUGUUCCUGAAUGCAUCACAAACAUGAACUAUGUACACAUCAUUAAGACAUUUUGGAAAGGAUUUAAUUUUCAUGGUGUUUAGAAAGAUCUUGCCUUUGGAGACGUAGUUGAAGCAAUUUUGGCACGCUAAGUGACUAUUUUUGAAGAUGCAAAUGGCAUUUAUGUACAGAGGAAGCCAGGAAGGUAUACUAGCUCCAAUCAUCCUUUUUCUAGUUUUAUAUUACCCAGAGAAAAAGAACCCUUAUUUUAUCAGGGAAAAAAUAAAAUAACAGUUUCUUGUUUCAAAGAGUUUAGAUUACUUUUGUUACAUAUUUUCCUUUGAAGAUACAGAUUUGUUCUGUUGAUAAUUGCUGGCUGGUUGAAUUUUUUUCCUUUUCUUCA